GAAAGCGAGGAGGCUAAAAGGAGAAAAAUAAAAAUAGUCGGAGGAAAAUAGGGGAAAAGGGUGAGGCGGGCGGCCCUGCUCGGACGGUCGCCGCAAGUUUUGUGAUGGGCUGGGUUUAUGCCCUUUUUUUCCUGGGUUCAGACCUUGAGUGUAGUGGCUCACAAUGAACUUGGAGUGGGUUACAAGAAAUGGGCCACAUGAAUCUCCUCUUUUUCUCACUGGAUGAGUGUGAUGUGGUUGAAUCUUGGUGAUGGCCUUGGAUAAGAUGCACGGCAUGGUCCCGCUGGAUGUAUCCUCUCAUAUUAUUAUUUAUUAACUGGCUUUAUGAAUUAUAGGAGAAGAGAAGAUAAUUACAGGAGAAGAUUUUGGCACAGAGCGGAGUUUUAUUUCGCUACUAAGCCCAGAUGGUGGAGCAGAGUUUGCUUUUCGGAUUAUGAGGGAGCAAAGUUAGUGGCAUUCCAUGAUGAAGCAUGAGACAAAGCUUGGAUGUCUAGGCAGGCCUCAUCAUAGAGCCGAAUCAGAGGCGCUAGCUUGGUGACUUGCUUUACCUUGUAUAGGUAGCUUACCUUGUCAUGUGGGAUUGUGUGUUGUGUCACAUAGUUGCAUGUUUAGAGAACUAACUUUAUCAUAUUUAUCCCUAACCUUGUAAAUAAAAGCUGAAAACCCAUAGUUGGUUAUUCCCAUUUCCUCCCCUAGUUGACAUCUUUGAUCCUUUCAGUACGCCCCAACCAUCCGUCCUACCACAACAUGGCAAUAUCAUGUAUGCCUUGAGACCUUUGCUCCAACUUUUAUCAGAGGAAUGAUAUUUGGUCCGAUGGA